rnacentral:rRNA from 1 species
UACGUAGGGUGCAAGCGUUAAACGGAAUUACUGGGCGUAAAGCGUGCGCAGGCGGUUUUGUAAGUCUGACGUGAAAUCCCCGGGCUCAACCUGGGAAUUGCGUUGGAGACUGCAAGGCUAGAAUCUGGCAGAGGGGGGUAGAAUUCCACGUGUAGCAGUGAAAUGCGUAGAGAUGUGGAGGAACACCGAUGGCGAAGGCAGCCCCCUGGGUCAAGAUUGACGCUCAUGCACGAAAGCGUGGGGAGCAAACAGG